CUUUAAGAGGCACUGCGAUCCCAGGCAAACUGCAGAAUGAGCCGCCUCAGCCGCGGUAGCACACCAAAAUGCAAGAGGUCCAUGCUGACCUCACGUCCGACACCAUUUUUCAAGAAACAUCAUGAUUGCUUCUUGUGCCAGGAUGACUUGCCCCUUUCAUCAGCACACUGCGCAGAACUGAUGUACAGACCAGGGAGACACCAGGCACGAUGAUGAGGAAAUAACCUGAGAUCUACAGCAACUGCAGGGGCAAUGGAUUGGAGUCAAGCAAUGUUUGUCUGAAUGAAAGAGGACGUCACAUGAAAGUAGAAAUGGACUAUAUACCGUAUCAUGUACAGUGCCUUGCGAAAG